rnacentral:rRNA from 1 species
UAACUGCGAGUGAAGCGGCAAAAGCUCAAAUUUGAAAUCGGUGUUCAUGAAGUACAUCGAGUUGUAAUUUGGAGGGAUGACUUCGGGGCGAACCACAUCGUAAGUUUCUUGGAACAGGACAUCAUAGAGGGUGAGAAUCCCGUGUCUUGAUGUAGGGUCAAAUGUGAAGCGUCUCCGACGAGUCGAGUUGUUUGGGAAUGCAGCUCAAAAUGGGUGGUAAAUUUCAUCUAAAGCUAAAUAUUGGCGAGAGACCGAUAGCGCACAAGUAGAGUGAUCGAAAGAUGAAAAGCACUUUGAAAAGAGAGUUAAAAAGUACGUGAAAUUGUUGAAAGGGAAGCGCUUGCGACCAGACUCGAUCUUUGGAGAUCAGCCGGGCUUCGGUUCGGUGCCCUCUCCAUCGAUCGGGCCAGCAUAGGUUCUGACGGUGGGAUAAAAGGAGGAGGAAUGUGGCUCCCCUCGGGGAGUGUUAUAGCCACCUUCACAAUGCCACCAGUUGGGACCGAGGACCGCGCUUCGGCUAGGAUGCUGGUGUAAUGGUCUUAAGCGACCCGUCUUGAAACACGGACCAAGGAGUCUAACAUCUAUGCGAGUGUU